GAUGAACGCUGGCGGCGUGCCUAAUACAUGCAAGUCGAGCGAACAGACGAGGAGCUUGCUCCUCUGACGUUAGCGGCGGACGGGUGAGUAACACGUGGAUAACCUACCUAUAAGACUGGGAUAACUUCGGGAAACCGGAGCUAAUACCGGAUAAUAUAUUGAACCGCAUGGUUCAAUAGUGAAAGACGGUUUUGCUGUCACUUAUAGAUGGAUCCGCGCCGCAUUAGCUAGUUGGUAAGGUAACGGCUUACCAAGGCAACGAGGCGUAACCGACCUGACAGGGGGGUAGGCCACACUGGAACUGAGACACGGACCAGACUCCUACGGGAGGCAGCAGUAGGGAAUCGUCCGCAGUGGGCGAAAGCCUGACGGAGCAACGCCGCGUGAGUGAUGAAGGUCUUCGGAUCGUAAAACUGUGUUAUUAGGGAAGAACAAAUGUGUAAGUAAAUAUGCACGUCUUGACGGUAACUAAUCAGAAAGCCACGGCUAACUACGUG
rnacentral:rRNA from 1 species